UACGUAGGGUGCAAGCGUUGUUCGGAAUUACUGGGCGUAAAGCGUGCGCAGGCGGUCUGUUAAGACCGAUGUGAAAUCCCCGGGCUUAACCUGGGAACUGCAUUGGUGACUGGCAGGCUUUGAGUGUGGCAGAGGGAGGUAGAAUUCCACGUGUAGCAGUGAAAUGCGUAGAGAUGUGGAGGAAUACCGAUGGCGAAGGCAGCCUCCUGGGCCAACACUGACGCUCAUGCACGAAAGCGUGGGGAGCAAACAGG
rnacentral:rRNA from 1 species